rnacentral:rRNA from 1 species
AAUAAAAGUCCUUCCAAGUCCCCCUUUCGCUCUAGGAAAAAAAAGGGGACGAUUCUGCUCGCGCCGCCGGUUCCCCGAUGGCGGAGGACUCAGGCGCCAUCCUCCGCCACAUCUCCUCCCUCAAGGACAUGCUUGACAAGGUCAAUGAAGAGAUUGAACAGAAUAUACAAAGGACCAGGGAAACAGAGUCAGAAAUAGUGAAGCAUUCUGAAACUGAAAAGGACUAUCUCGUGAAGGAGUCUGAGCUAAUGAAAGGAGUAUCGGUUGCUGAGUUUGAACUUGAUGGGCUUAUGCAAGUGGAAGCUGCUGGAACAGAUUCACUUAAAGCGAUGGAGGGCAAUUUGGAAUUCCGGAAAGCUACUCUGAAUGCAAUUAGGAAACUAUUCUACGAUAAAAUGGAAAGGUUCAUCGCGGAAUCUAGAGACUUCCAAGUUAACAUGCUUGGAGGUUCAAAUGAGGAUUUGCUUCUCCUACUAAAGGAAAGAGAUUCACUAGAGAAUGAGAGUGAGAACUUGAGGAUGAAGAUCAACGCCAUACAAAGUUCAUUAAAGGAAUACAUUGCUGAGAUUCUUGAGGAGGUAAAUGUGGAAAAUUCAGUUCUGGAGUCUGAUGUACAGUAUAGGAUUUCGGAAUACAUGGAAAUUCUCAAGGAUAUAAACAACCUGAAGAUUCUAUUUAGUUCGAGCAAUUCUUAAGAAGGGUCUUCAUUGUUGCAGGCUCAUGACCCAUCAAAGUUGCCACAUGUUUCUUGUGUCUUCAGUACGCCAUUUUGGUUUGGCUGUCAAGAAUCUUCAGCAAGCUCAAUGGAAAUACCUUGUACAUGUUUCUUGUGUCGAGAUCUAGCACGAAUUUACUGCACUACCAAACAUGUAUUGGUCAUGGCUUGUAUAUACAGUUCAGUUAACCUCUGCAGUGUAGAUUUCAAGCUGAGGGAUAGUAGGAAAAGGCAAAGUGCCUAGGAAUGCAGAUUGGAAAAACAGCAAAGUCUUUUGUGGGCAAUUGUUGUUUUCAAUAUUUUUUUUUUUACUUUAGUGGGCAAUGCAAGCUUCCAAACAUUCCGUCAAAUAGGAUUAGAACCACUGGACGUCGAAGGCAUAACAUGGGACAUAGGAGUAUUAAUCGAACUGAUGUCUCCAGUCGACGUGAUAAGCAGAUUUUAUCGAGAAGGUUUAUAACAGCGCCAAGCAAUAAAAACAUCAAAAUAAGACUAGGAAGGUUCCUUAAAAUUCUGGAAGCGUCAAAAACAUCUAUAGAACGCCAAAAUAGGAACAUCUAGAACGCGAAAAUACCAAAAGCAGGGCAGAAGAAAGCCACAGGCUGGCUCCCAGCGCGUCUUCCCCACACGAAUCGAAAACCCUAUAAAACCUUCCUCCCGUUCCUUAUCCUUCCCCAGGCCUCUCGCCAUUUCUCUUCUCUCAAUCCCGCAAAACCCACGCGAAUCCACCAGCCCCUUCCUUCAACUUCCUGCCCCUUGUAGGGUUUCGCACCCCCACCAAUCCCUACCCCCCGGGUUACUGCUCGUGCUCUCAGCCAUGGCGACCACGACCUUCCCCACGUCGACCCCCUUCUUCGUCCACCACGGCGCCCGGCGCCCCUCCGUCAACCUCCGAACGGCCGCGGUGGUGUACGGCCGUGGUGGGCGGCGGUGGCGGCCACUGCGCGUCGCCUGCGAGAAGGUGGUGGGGAUCGACCUCGGGACCACCAACUCAGCGGUCGCGGCGAUGGAGGGCGGCAAGCCCACCAUCGUCACCAACGCCGAGGGCGCGCGGACCACGCCGUCGGUCGUGGCCUACACCAAGGCCGGGGACCGGCUGGUGGGACAGAUCGCCAAGAGGCAGGCGGUGGUCAACCCGGAGAACACCUUCUUCUCAGUCAAGAGGUUCAUCGGCCGAAAGAUGAACGAGGUCGCCGAGGAGUCCAAGCAGGUUUCCUACCGCCUUGUCCGGGACGAUAACGGCAACGUCAAGCUCGAUUGCCCAGCAAUUGGCAAGCAGUUCGCCGCGGAGGAGAUCUCUGCACAGGUCCUGAGAAAGCUGGUUGAUGAUGCGUCAAAGUUUUUAAAUGACAAAGUCACCAAGGCAGUGAUCACGGUUCCUGCUUAUUUCAAUGACUCCCAGAGGACGGCUACAAAAGAUGCCGGCCGCAUUGCAGGCCUGGAUGUUCUCCGUAUCAUAAACGAGCCUACCGCGGCAUCGUUGGCAUAUGGUUUUGAAAAAAAGAACAAUGAAACAAUUCUGGUUUUUGACCUGGGAGGAGGCACCUUUGAUGUUUCAGUUCUCGAAGUUGGUGAUGGUGUUUUUGAGGUGCUGUCUACAUCUGGUGAUACUCACCUUGGUGGUGAUGACUUUGACAAGAGAAUUGUUGAUUGGCUGGCUGGGAGCUUCAAGAAUGAUGAGGGUAUUGACCUGCUAAAAGACAAGCAAGCUCUCCAGCGUCUUACAGAAGCAGCUGAGAAGGCCAAGAUGGAAUUGUCAUCGUUGACCCAAACAAAUAUCAGUUUACCUUUCAUUACAGCUACUGCUGAUGGGCCCAAGCAUAUUGAGACAACACUUACCAGGGGUAAAUUUGAGGAGCUAUGCUCAGAUCUUCUUGACAGGCUGAGGACACCUGUCGACAAUUCUCUUAGAGAUGCGAAGUUGUCACUUAAAGAAAUAGACGAGGUGAUUCUUGUGGGUGGUUCCACAAGAAUUCCAGCUGUUCAGGAUCUUGUGAAGAAAAUGACGGGAAAGGAUCCCAAUGUGACAGUCAAUCCCGAUGAGGUUGUUGCUCUUGGAGCAGCAGUGCAGGCAGGAGUAUUGUCGGGUGAUGUGAGCGAUAUUGUGCUUCUUGAUGUUACGCCACUGUCUCUUGGUUUGGAGACACUGGGUGGGGUGAUGACCAAGAUUAUCCCAAGGAAUACAACCCUCCCUACCUCCAAGUCAGAGGUCUUUUCAACGGCUGCUGAUGGACAGACUAGUGUGGAGAUUAAUGUUCUCCAAGGAGAAAGAGAGUUUGUUAGGGACAAUAAAUCCCUUGGUAGCUUCAGGCUUGAUGGAAUUCCUCCUGCUCCGCGUGGUGUUCCCCAAAUUGAAGUCAAGUUUGAUAUUGAUGCCAAUGGCAUUCUGUCUGUUGCUGCGGUGGAUAAGGGCACUGGGAAGAAGCAGGACAUUACGAUCACUGGAGCCAGCACACUGCCAAAGGAUGAGGUAGAGAAGAUGGUGGAAGAAGCUGAAAAAUUCGCGGCGGAGGACAAGGAGAAGAGGGACGCAAUUGACACCAAGAACCAGGCAGAGUCUGUGAUCUACCAGACUGAGAAACAACUGAAGGAGCUCGGAGACAAGGUCCCAGGCGAUGUCAAGGAGAAGGUGGAGGGGAAGCUCAAGGAACUCCAGGACGCCGUUGCUGGUGGAUCGACACAGACGAUAAAGGAUGCACUAGCUGCGUUGAACCAAGAAGUGAUGCAGCUUGGUCAGUCCCUCUACCAGCAGCAGGGGUCGGGCCCUACCCCUGGAGCUGACGGCGCUGCUGACUCUACAGGCCCAUCUGAGAAGACAGGCGAUGGUGGUGACGUCAUAGACGCUGAUUUUACCGACAGCAAUUGAAUAGAACAGUAGGCUAGGGCAUGAUGCAACAAGUGAGUAUGAAUUUGUUCCACAGGAUUGCCUAGUAGUAUACGGGGUGAGCGCUUUCUUUGGAUUGAGACCUUGUUUCCUGUCAGGGUGUUGGCCGAGUUUUUUAUGUUGGAGGUUUGGAGAGUUCAGUUAUCAGUUUGGAUGCAUAGAUUGGCUUUUGCUUGUUGGGAAUCCGACCCCUUGGCCUUGUACGGUUAUGUAUUGGAUUUACUAACUCUCUAGAGAACUGGGUCAUUUCCUGUUUGGAGCAUGUGCCAAAAACUGGAUUGUUAUUUUGGGGAGCAUUCUACUCCUUUCGCUUAUAAAUAUAAGCCCUUUUAGAGAUUUCACUAUGGACUACAUAUAUGUAUGUAGACAUAUUUUGAGAAUUGAUGUGUUGUCAGAGCUAGGUCAUGC